UACGUAGGCAGCGAGCGUUGUUCGGAAUUACUGGGCGUAAAGAGUGUGUAGGCGGUGCUCUAAGUUUGGUGUGAAAUCUCCUGGCUCAACUGGGAGGGUGCGCCGGAAACUGGAGUGCUUGAGCGUGGGAGAGGAAAGCGGAAUUCCUGGUGUAGCGGUGAAAUGCGUAGAUAUCAGGAGGAACACCAAUGGCGAAGGCAGCACUCUGGGACGUGACUGACGCUGAGACGCGAAAGCGUGGGGAGCAAACAGG
rnacentral:rRNA from 1 species